AAGAAAAUAAUCUCUCUCUGCAUAUUUUUUCUUCAAACUCCAUCUUUAUUUCAGCGGCCAACUUUUGAAUUGAAUUCUUGCAUUAUUUCCCUUUACGAUUUUAAACCAACAAUUGGUAUUGGAGCUUUAAUCUAAGGGGCCUGAAUGUGUGCAUCAAUUUGAUCCAGUAGAUACCAUGAACGGAGAAAUAAUUUUUUCUUCAAUGGCACCACAAACUUUCGAUGAAGAAAGUUAUCAAAUCUAGG
rnacentral:lncRNA from 1 species